UUGACCUCAAAUCAGGUAGGACUACCCGCUGAACUUAAGCAUAUCAAUAAGCGGAGGAAAAGAAACUAACAAGGAUUCCCCUAGUAACUGCGAGUGAAGCGGGAAAAGCUCAAAUUUAAAAUCUGGUGGUCUUUGGCCAUCCGAGUUGUAAUCUAGAGAAGUGUUAUCCGUGCUGGACCGUGUACAAGUCUCCUGGAAUGGAGCGUCAUAGAGGGUGAGAAUCCCGUCUUUGACACGGACUACCAGUGCUUUGUGAUACGCUCUCAAAGAGUCGAGUUGUUUGGGAAUGCAGCUCAAAAUGGGUGGUAAAUUCCAUCUAAAGCUAAAUAUUGGCGAGAGACCGAUAGCGAACAAGUACCGUGAGGGAAAGAUGAAAAGAACUUUGGAAAGAGAGUUAAACAGUACGUGAAAUUGCUGAAAGGGAAACGCUUAAAGUCAGUCGCAUUGUCUAGGAAUCAACCCUUGCUUUUGCUGGGCGUACUUUCUAGUUAAUGGGUCAGCAUCAAUUUUGAUUGUUGGAUAAAGUCUGGGAGAAUGUGGCAUCCUUUGGAUGUGUUAUAACUUCUAGUUGCAUACAAUGGUUGGGAUUGAGGAACUCAGCACGCCCGCAAGGGUCGGGUACUUUGUACCACGUUCGU
rnacentral:rRNA from 1 species